rnacentral:rRNA from 1 species
AGAGUUUGAUCCUGGCUCAGGAUGAACGCUAGCGGCAGGCUUAACACAUGCAAGUCGAGGGGUAACGAUGGUGCUUGCACCAGGCGACGACCGGCGCACGGGUGAGUAACGCGUAUGCAACCUACCUCUAUCAGGGGCACAGCUCUCGGAAACGGGAAUUAAUACCCCAUAAUAUCAUAGAUUCGCAUGUUUUUGUGAUUAAAGCUCCGGCGGAUAGGGAUGGGCAUGCGUGCCAUUAGCUUGUUGGUAAGGUAACGGCUUACCAAGGCAACGAUGGCUAGGGGGUCUGAGAGGAUGGUCCCCCACACUGGUACUGAGACACGGACCAGACUCCUACGGGAGGCAGCAGUGAGGAAUAUUGGGCAAUGGACGCAAGUCUGACCCAGCCAUGCCGCGUGCAGGAUGAAUGCCCUAUGGGUUGUAAACUGCCUUUCUGCAGGAAGAAACGCUCGAUCGUGAUCGGGUUUGACGGUACUGUAGGAAUAAGCAUCGGCUAACUCCGUGCCAGCAGCCGCGGUAAUACGGAGGAUGCAAGCGUUAUCCGGAUUUAUUGGGUUUAAAGGGUGCGUAGGCGGAAAUAUAAGUCAGUGGUGAAAUCCUGCAGCUUAACUGUAGAACUGCCAUUGAUACUGUUUUUCUUGAGUAUAGUUGAGGUGGGCGGAAUGUGUAAUGUAGCGGUGAAAUGCUUAGAUAUUACACAGAACACCAAUUGCGUAGGCAGCUCACUAAACUAUCACUGACGCUGAGGCACGAAAGCGUGGGGAGCGAACAGGAUUAGAUGCCCUGGUAGUCCACGCUGUAAACUAUGAUCACUCGUUGUUGGUGAUACAUUGUCAGCGACCAAGCGAAAGCAUUAAGUGAUCCACCUGGGGAGUACGGUCGCAAGAUUGAAACUCAAAGGAAUUGACGGGGGCCCGCACAAGCGGUGGAACAUGUGGUUUAGUUCGAUGAUACGCGAGGAACCUUACCUGGGCUUAAAUGCAGAACGACGGAUUGGGAAACUAAUCUUUCUUCGGACGGACUGCAAGUGCUGCAUGGUUGUCGUCAGCUCGUGCCGUGAGGUGUCGGGUUAAGUCCCAUAACGAGCGCAACCCUUAUCGUUAGUUACCAGCGGAUAAUGCCGGGGACUCUAUCGAAACUGCCGGUGUAAACCGUGAGGAAGGUGGGGAUGACGUCAAAUCAGCACGGCCCUUAUGUCCAGGGCUACACACGUGUUACAAUGGUCAGU